GAGAUUGGAUCAAUUUUCCAAUCAAAGUCCACAUUCCUGAAAAUGAUGAUUAAGAAAUUGACAUGUUAAUAAAUAAGAGGAAUAGUAGGAGAGCUUCUUAUGUAUUGUUUUUGGGAAUCACUAGAAUGAAACUACAGCAGCAUCAUACAUGGUUGUAUGAUAUAUGAUUAUAUAUUUGAUCCCUAUCUCGAAAGAUUAUAAAUUUCUAAUACAAAAACCAAGGUCAUGAAUGCUUGAAAUGUUGUUGCAAGCGUCUCCGUGUGUUUUUUUUAUUUUUUUGAAUGUAAAGUUCAUAUCAUUAGAAGUUUAAAACAAUGGCCAAAUAAGCUAUAAGCUAUAUAGUCUACGUAGCUUAUAACCGAAAUCGGGGAAACUGAAAACCUAAAGAAGCAACACAAAACCAAGGUCAGGAAUAAGCUACUACUCUAUGCAUGGUAAGGACAAAGUGGGUUUGGUCCCGGUUGUGCGUCUUGACGGCCACAAUGAGGUGUGUGCCUUGACUGCCAUAAUGAGGCGGCAAGAACAUGUGUAGGUUCUGCAUGUUCGUUAUGCUCAACUCUAAUUUAAAAUGACUACUCUGGCAUCCGAAAGUAGAGCAGAACAGAGGGGUCCGAUGUGAUAUUUAUUGUAAUUUGAAUACCAAAUAGAAGAAGAAAAUAAACACAGCGGAAACAACUUCACUGCAGUAGAUUCACCGCAGUAAGACAAACACAAAUAGCAAGAAAUUAAAGAACACAAGAAAUUUACGUGGUUCGGCUUAGCCUACAUCCACGGAGCAGCAAGGACAAAUUCACUAUCAAAGUCUGAGAGGUUACAAAGGUUUCAAAUUAAACUCUCACACUACCGACUCUACCACUGCAGUAAACUGCAACAAACGCUCUUAUUCUUUUUUCUGUAAACUGUUUUUCAAACUGUUUUGCAGUUACAACUUCUCAUAUCUUAUUUCUCAGCAGCUUUUAAUAACUACUAAAAAUAGGAAGACAAAAGAGAAUAACGAGCCACAACACAAUAAUAUUCGAAAUGUCUCACCAAUUCAUUCUCCCUUCUCACGAUGCUCCCCUCACUGUCACCACCCCAAAAACAAACCCUUUCAGAUUCACUCACUAAUGGAGUAAUGGAACUCAACACUUCACAAACAAUGGCAGGACUGGGGUUGGGGCUGGACUUCCUCUCAAAGAAGCCAUAUUCCCCUCCUUCUUGGGCAUCCCACAUCAACCCCCAUCCCCUCCCACACCUUCUCUCUCGGUCACGUAAUUCCUCAACUCCAUUCUCAUCACUCAGUAGUCAAUACUCACAGGUCACAGCAUCACUGUUUGUUUAUUGACUCCUACUUUUCUCUCAGCUUCCCACUCCAAUCCACAAAUGGAAUCUUCCCAAUUUGCCCAACAACACUGAGGUCUGGCUGCAAUCGAAAAUUUGAAUGUUUGGGUUUUGUGGAUUGAUUUAGUGAAGUUUUCCAGUCUGUCGCUUCAGAAACCAUAUAUCCAACCCUGUUUCAAAACUUAACGUCGUCUAGAAUAUGUUAUGCGUUUCCUGAAAACAGAAUGACAAUGAGUUUUAAAGUACGUGUAGUUCUUCUUACCUCUUAGGUUUUACAUAAUCAAUUUUAUGUGAUUUGAUUUCAGUGGCAAAGCUGCUUAUGGGUUGCUGAAGGACAUUGCCGAGAAUCCAAAGAAGUGGGAAGGAAGAAAGAUCCUCUUCAUACACACAUGCAGGUGGGCUGCUUGGGUUGUUUGACAAGGUCGAGCAGAUUGCUCCAUCAUUGGGAAAAUAGUGUCGGAUGGAUGUCUGUGGAAGAAACGAUAUGGACUUGUCACACAUUAUUAUAAUGUAAUAUAAUAUGAUGAUUCAGCAUAAUAUCAAAUCUACUUCUACAUGGAAACAAAUACAAGAUCAAAUCUAGAUUAAUAAUGAUUACGUGUAUUAAAUCAUUAUGGUAAUAAAUCAUAUUCCUUGUCUAGAAGAAAGACAAGAUAUCGGUAUUGUAUCUGGUAUCCAAUUAGGAUAUACUACCAGAAGAAAGGCUUUAGCUGACGAAAAAAAAAAACCAGGCCGACGAAGUAGUUUUUCGUCGGCUAAGUUAAAUUUUCGUCGGCUAUGGUAAACUUUAGCUGACGAAAAAAAAUUUUCGUCGGCUAAAGAAUUUAUUUCGUCGGCUAAAGUUCACAAACUAUGGCCGACGAAAUAUUUAAAAGUUUAGCCGACGAAAUUAAUAUGUCGUCGGCUAAAGUGCUUUAUAUUUGCGGAUCUGGACAGCAGCAGCUCAUCUGGGAAAAAAACGGGAGAUCGAAAAAGUUUGGAUGUUGUCGAAAUCUGUCCAUAAUUAGUUUGUGGAGCCAUAUAUAGGUACGUAUAUGUAUAUAUAUGUUGAUUAAUUGAGUUUUAUUUGAGUUGAUCGAUUUUAAAUGUGAUUGAGUUUAUUGAUUUUGAUUGNNNNN
rnacentral:lncRNA from 1 species